CAGUCGCCGCGGUAAUACAGAGGGUGCGAGCGUUAAUCGGAUUUACUGGGCGUAAAGCGUGCGUAGGCGGCUUCUUAAGUCGGAUGUGAAAUCCCUGAGCUUAACUUAGGAAUUGCAUUCGAUACUGGGAAGCUAGAGUAUGGGAGAGGAUGGUAGAAUUCCAGGUGUAGCGGUGAAAUGCGUAGAGAUCUGGAGGAAUACCGAUGGCGAAGGCAGCCAUCUGGCCUAAUACUGACGCUGAGGUACGAAAGCAUGGGGAGCAAACAGGAUUAGAUACCCGCGUAGUCCCUGUCUCUUAUAC
rnacentral:rRNA from 1 species